UACGAAAGGGGCUAGCGUUGUUCGGAAUUACGGGGCGUAAAGCGCACGUCGGCGGCCUUGUAAGUUGGGGGUGAAAUCCCGGAGCUCAACUCCGGAACUGCCUCCAAAACUACAAAGCUCGAGGAUGUGAGAGGAGAGUGGAAUUCCGAGUGUAGAGGUGAAAUUCGUAGAUAUUCGGAAGAACACCAGUGGCGAAGGCGCCUCUCUGGCACAUUUCUGACGCUGAGGUGCGAAAGCGUGGGGAGCAAACAGG
rnacentral:rRNA from 1 species